rnacentral:lncRNA from 13 species
GUGACCUGAAAAGCAACUCAUAAUAGAAAUGGAAAGAAGUAUGAAAUAGGUGUAAAGAAACCGUUCGUGUACCUGAUGGUUUUCCAAAUACUGAUUUUUAUAUCAUGGAGAAGCUCUAGAUUGUGUUUUCCAAAGAUGGCUAAACCAGUAUCAUCUCCCAUUCCCUAUGCUCUUCUAAGACUUUGCCAUUCAUUUUCCCAUUAAGAUAUAGAGUCCAGUUCACCUCCUUUUGAGUCUGGUUGGGCUUGUGACUCACUUGUAACCAAGAGAAUGCAGCAGAAUUAAUGCCGUGUGACUUCUAAAGCUAGGUCACAAAAGGCAAGUCAGCUUCUGCCUUCUCAGCUGAGGCAUUUACCUUUGGAGUUCUGCACCACUCUAUGAAGAGUCUGACCAUCUUAGACCACCUUGUUGUGAGGAGGCCCAAGGCACAUGAAGAGGUCUGUAGAUAUUCCAGUGACAGCCCCAAAUGAGGGUCUGCUGACAACCAGCAUCAACCACAACACACACAGAGAUAACAACAUCUCCAGGACUCUAGUUCCCAAAUGCCUUGCGUAUCCCCAGGCUCUGAAUCCCCCAGCAGAGGGCCAGACAUUGUGGCGCACAGGCAAACCAUGCCAUCCCUGUCAUGUCCUGUCUGAAUUCCUCAACCACAGUAUUCAGGAGCAUAUAAAAUGGUCAUUCUAUGCCACUACGUUUUGGAGUUGGUUUCCCAGCAACACAAAAUGGAACAGAGGCUUAAGUUCACUCUUACCCUAAAAUUCCAGGAGAUCCUACUGUAUUCUAUUUUAGUCUUCUCUAGAUGUUGAAGAUUUCUACCAUGUUGUGAGGAUUUCUAGCACGUGCUGUCAAAUCACUGAAACUAAUAUGAAAACUGGUGUUCAAAAUGGGGUUGCAGAGAAAACGUGGAUUGGGACCAGCAAGAAGUUAUCGUCCUGGAAUAGAGAGCCACAAUGCACAUUUGACAACAGCAAGAAAACUUCCCAGAUGCUCUGGAAGAACAGUGGCCAAGCAAAAUUCUCCCGGAGGGCAGAGUCUGCGACAGCAUUUCUGGCUGGCCAGUUCUGAUUCCGAACGACGGCAUUAUCCGAGGGGAACUCCUGGCUCAGACUUGAUGAAUCACCAGGCUGGAGUCCUGAUUCUUGAGGCCACAGCCACAGGCUCAAUGAUGGAAGCAGAGACCAGCUCCCCACCAGACACCAAACCUGCCGACCCCUCAGCCUUGGACUUCCUGCCUCCAGAACUGUGAGAAAUAAAUUUCUGCUCUUCAUAAGUUACCCA